GAUGAACGCUGGCGGCGUGCCUAAUACAUGCAAGUCGAGCGAACAGAUGAGGAGCUUGCUCCUCUGACGUUAGCGGCGGACGGGUGAGUAACACGUGGAUAACCUACCUAUAAGACUGGGAUAACUUCGGGAAACCGGAGCUAAUACCGGAUAAUAUAUUGAACCGCAUGGUUCAAUAGUGAAAGACGGUUUUGCUGUCACUUAUAGAUGGAUCCGCGCCGCAUUAGCUAGUUGGUAAGGUAACGGCUUACCAAGGCAACGAUGCGUAGCCGACCUGAGAGGGUGAUCGGCCACACUGGAACUGAGACACGGUCCAGACUCCUACGGGAGGCCGCAGUAGGGAAUCUUCCGCAAUGGGGGAAAGCCUGACGGAGCAACGCCGCGUGAGUGAUGAAGGUCUUCGGAUCGUAAAGCUCUGUUAUUAGGGAAGAACAAAUGUGUAAGUAACUAUGCACGUAUUGACGGUACCUAAUCAGAAAGCCACGGCUAACUACGUG
rnacentral:rRNA from 1 species